AAUGAAUGAUGACAAAAUGUUUCGGUCCCAAAUGAUAUUGAUAUACACUGAUUAUACCGUUACAUUAUUUCUGACAUU
ensembl:snoRNA SNORD73 Small nucleolar RNA SNORD73